rnacentral:misc_RNA from 1 species
UCCGGUUUGUCACCGGCAGUCUCCUUAGAGUUCCCAGCAUAACCUGAUGGCAACUAAGGACAAGGGUUGCGCUCGUUGCGGGACUUAACCCAACAUCUCACGACACGAGCUGACGACAACCAUGCACCACCUGUCACCGCUGUCCCGAAGGAAAGCUUCAUCUCUGAAGCGGUCAGCGGGAUGUCAAGACCUGGUAAGGUUCUUCGCGUUGCUUCGAAUUAAACCACAUGCUCCACUGCUUGUGCGGGUCCCCGUCAAUUCCUUUGAGUUUCAGUCUUGCGACCGUACUCCCCAGGCGGAAUGCUUAAUGUGUUGACUUCGGCACUAAGGAGUUCGUGCUCCCUAACACCUAGCAUUCAUCGUUUACGGCGUGGACUAC